UACGAAGGAUCCAAGCGUUGUCCGGAUUUACUGGGUUUAAAGGGUGCGUAGGCGGACUUAUAAGUCAGUGGUGAAAGCCUUCAGCUUAACUGAAGAACUGCCAUUGAAACUGUAAGUCUCGAGUUCGGUUGAGGUCAUUGGAAUGUAACAUGUAGCGGUGAAAUGCAUAGAUAUGUUACAGAACACCGAUUGCGAAGGCAGAUGACUAAACCGAAACUGACGCUGAGGCACGAAAGCGUGGGGAGCGAACAGG
rnacentral:rRNA from 1 species